rnacentral:rRNA from 1 species
CACGUAAGGGGCAAGCGUUGUUCGGAAUUAUUGGGCGUAAAGGGCGUGUAGGCGGUUUCGAAAGCCUGGUGUUAAAAACCACAGCUUAACUGUGGAAGAGCGCUGGGAACUGCGAGACUAGAGUUUAGGAGGGGAAGCUGGAAUUCCAGGUGUAGGGGUGAAAUCUGUAGAUAUCUGGAAGAACACCGGUGGCGAAGGCGAGCUUCUGGCCAUAAACUGACGCUGAGGCGCGAAAGCGUGGGGAG